rnacentral:lncRNA from 1 species
CUCCUCUCUAUCUUCCCUCUCUUCUACUUCUUCUUUUCUUCUCUUCUCCCUCUUCUUCCUCUCUUCUUUUCCCUCUUCUUCUCUUCUCCCUCUACUUCUUUUCUUCUUCUCCCCACGCCCCACCGCUUCUCUCUGUUUCUCGAAGAAACAGAGAGAGCGUGGGAGGCGGUGGGAUAAAACCGAAGUUUUCGGUUUUCUUUAUUUUCUUCUUUUUACAACUUAACAGUUUAGUCUUUGAAAUUUCCAUAUUUACAUAUAGGUCCUCCGAUUUAUAAAUAAAU